rnacentral:lncRNA from 1 species
GCCUCUCUCUCGAUCUGGAUCGAAGCCGAGCGCCGCGGUCGCCGUGGCUCCGAAAUCGUCGUGAACAUCCUCCUCCCCGAGUAGUGCCAAGGCAUCUAGGAGGUCCGGCGCCCUCGUCCUCAUCCUUCUCAAGCACCAGGACGAGCCGGACCGCCCCGCAGCUCACCGUCACCGUCGUCCUUCUCCGCGCACGCUCCUCUGCUUCGCCAUCUCCCUCGAAGCUCCCGACGCCCCUGGUCCACCCCGGCCUCCCUGACCUCGUCCCCGGCACCGCUGUGAGCCACUCUUCCCAAACUCCCUCUCCCUGUUGUCGAUUUGUUGCUGUAGUCGCCGUCACCGAGCUCGUCCAAGCUCCCGUGUACGCGUAUGUACGUGCGUGCGGCUGUAGCGUGUUGUGCUGCUCCGGAGCCGCUGCGGCCUCUCGCUACUUGCUGUUGUGCCGCUGGCCGCCCUUGCCUGGCUCCCGUCUCCAGCCCCCAUCGCCUCCCCCCGCGCCCCACCUGUCGCGGACCGCGCCUGGUCACCCGGCCUCGCAGGCUCCGCCCUGCCACUCUGGUCUGCCGCGCCCGCCAUCGGGCCGUCCCUGCUGCUCUCACCGGGCCGCGCCCACCUCGCCUCUCCGCGCCCUGUGGUUGCUCUCGCCGUACCACGCGCACAGCCCGAGGCCAGCUGCUCCCGCCCAUUGCUCCUGCUGCUGACGCCGUCCACAGCCCGCCCCGCCGUCGUGCCCGCCUCCGCUACAGCCUACAGGCCCGCGCGCCCCGCGCCGCUGCCAGCCACCGCUAGCCGCUGCUUGCUCGCUGCUGGCCGCGCUGGUCAUGCCCGCCGCCGGCGCCUCUGCGCACGCGCGCACAGCCGCGGCCAGGCAAGCUGGUUCCUGUCUAAUUAGGGGAGUAAUCCCUUUUUACAUUAAACCCCCCUGUUUAACUACGCUAAUUAAACCCAUGUUUAGUUAAAUAGGUCAAUGACAGUAGGCCCCUCCAUUAUUUAAGCUAAAUAAAUCUUUCUGUUAAAUAAGUGACCCUAUGACAGGUGGGACCCCCUCACGUACUAUUUUUAUGGAUAAGAUCUAUUUAGCCCCUCUCUAUGACAUGUAGUCCCCACCAGUUGGUUGGACUAGUCAACCCAGUCAACUUUGACUGUUGACUGCUGACUGGGCUUUGACUGGCCCCACCUGUCAUACAAAGUGGCUAGUUGCUGAUGUGUGGGUAUUGCAUUGUUUUGGAUAAUUCGAAUAUCAUAAUUAAAGUAAUUCAGAAUUGUUUUAAACUUCGAAAAAUCAGUAGAAAUUAAACCGUAGCGCAGAUCGAAAAACUUUGUAUAUGAAAGUUGCUCAGAAAAAUCCAACGAAUCCGAAUACGUGGUCCAUUCAUCUGUCACAUGCCCCUAGCAUGCGGAACAUGGAACUUUCCCCUCUCUUUCCCUUUGUCCGGAAUCCGCCUAACGCCGGGAAUUCAUCCUCGAAUGUUUAUCCCUCUCCAUCUGCAACGUCUAGCACUGCGUUAGUUCAUCCCUAACACCGUGUAUUACCAUGUUAUGCUUUGUGAUGCUUUGUUUGCUUUAUAUUUAUUGUUUCUUCCCCCUCUUCUCUCCGGUAGACCCCGAGACCGAUGAUGCCCCCAUGAUCGACUACAUCACCGGCGACUCUUCUUCCUUUGCAGCAGAGCUUCCAGGCAAGCCCCUCCUUUGAUCAUCCCGAUAUUGCCCAUUCUAUUCUCUCAUGCUUGCAUUAGAUUUUGCUAUUGUAUUUGAUUGCUCCUAUUCCGAUGCAUAGCCUGCUUUUGUAACCUGCUUAUUCUUACCUACCUGCUUAUCCUAAACUGCUUAGUAUAGGUUGGUUAGUGAUCCAUCAGUGACCCCCACCUGGUCCUUGUUGCCCCUGCUUCAUCCUCGACGACUUGAUCAACGUGAUCGAUGACCUGAGCCCGACACCUCACAUCACAUCACGCCCCUUUUGUUGCUCGACUCUGUAGAGUUACCAUCGAGUGUCGAGGGUGGAACCUCAUACAUCACUCCUGAUGAGAUCUCUGUAGUGUAGCUAUUUGGUCAUGGUCAUCGAAGGUGAUUUCCUCUUUAACCACUUCCGAUAUGACUCUGUUGUGCAACCCCUCAACUGUGAACCUCGAGGGUGGUUCCUCUUACGUUCACCUUGAUGAUUACAUCGAAUGGAAUUCACCGGGGGUGAUUCCUCGGGUUUUCACCUUGAUGUUUGGACACACGGAUACUUGGACUUUACAACUGUGACUUGGAAAGGCGGGUCGACCCUGAGGGGUAUCCGCGAGUGAUGUGGAGACGGGUUGACCUGGAGGGUACCCGAGAGUUGAAUACGAGGCGUGGCCGGGCAUUCUUAGACCUUGCCGCAAGUCCUCGAGACGGGGCGACGGGGUCACAUAUUUCAUGAGUCUCUGCUCGUGACCGCACUACCAACACACUAACGGUUUGGAUAUUUGUUCUGAGGGGCCUCUGGCCUGAUAGCACUAACCAUCACGUGGGCAUAGUAUGGGCGUUCUGCGUCGUAUGCAUCAGCCGAAGCUUAAUAGACAUCAGUGACUGAGCGGCGCGCGCCGGGUUGGACUGCGUAAGCACCUACCUUGUUAAAGGAGGUAGCUAGGUCUGCUCACGGGCCGCCCACGCAACAUGCAGGAGUUCCCGGGGCGAUGGCCCAUGACCCCUGGGGGCAUAGGUUUAGUCCGGCGUGCUGAUCUCUCUAUUAAGCCUAGGUCGGGUUGCGGCGUAUUGUUUGGCUGAGGCCGGGCAUGACCCAGGAAAGUGUGUCCGGCCGGAGUUAAUCGAGCGUGGUGGGUAAGUUGGUGCACCCCUGCAGGGAAGAAAACAUCUAUCGAUAGCCUGUCCUACGGUAACAGACACUUGGAGUUGUAUCCCAAUCGAUACAACUAGAACUGGAUACUUGAGGUGAUAACUGGAUAGUAUGGCUCUGGGAUUGCUUUCUCGCAGGGAGUCGAGAAAGGAUCUCUGGCCGAGGUUGAUAACACUACUACUACUUUACUUUAUGCUACUCUUAUCUCUUCUGAUGCUGCAAGAUGCUUGGAGCUGCUUGAAGAUGCUAGUCUUCGAUAGGCUAGGCUUUCCCCUUCUCUUCUGGCAUCCUGCAGUUCAGCCCACAGAUGCUAUCCAUUUCAUUGACACCGAUGCAUAUGUAGUGUAGAUCAUUGCUUGCGAGUACUUUGGAUGAGUACUCACGGUUUCUUUGCUCCCCCCUUUUCCCCCUUUUCCAUUCUUCUCGGAUGUCACAACCAGAUGGUGGAGCCCAGGAUCCAGACGCCACCUUCGACAACGACUGCUACUACACUGACGGUACCUACUACUACGCGGAGGCCGCCGUCGACCAGGAGUAGUUAGGAGGCUCCCAGGUAGGAGGCCUUGCCUUUUCAAUCGAUGUUGCUUUAGUGCUAGCCUUCUUAAGGCAAACUUGUUUAACUCAUGUCUGUACUCAGAUAUUGUUGCUUCCGCUAACUCUUGUGUAUUCGAGCCCUCGAGGCCCCUGGCUUGUAAUAUAAAGUUUGUAUUUUUUAUUUGUGUCUAGAGUUGUGUUGUGAUAUCUUCCCGUGAGUCCUUGAUCUUGAUCGUACACAUUUGCGUGUAUGAUUAGUGUACAAUUGAAUCGAGGGCGUCACAGCUGGCCUAAUGGAAUUUGAGAGGGCAGAGGUGCAGUUUUUCU